AGAGUUUGAUCAUGGCUCAGAUUGAACGCUGGCGGAAUGCUUUACACAUGCAAGUCGAGCGGCAGCGCGGGGCAACCUGGCGGCGAGCGGCGAACGGGUGAGUAAUAGCAUCGGAACAUGUCCAUGUCGUGGGGGAUAGCCCGGCGAAAGCCGGAUUAAUACCGCAUACGCUCGAGAGAGGAAAGCCGGGGACCGCAAGGCCUGGCGCGAUUGGGUUGGCCGAUGUCCGAUUAGCUAGUUGGUGAGGUAAAGGCUUACCAAGGCGAUGAUCGGUAGCUGGUCUGAGAGGAUGAUCAGCCACACUGGGACUGAGACACGGCCCAGACUCCUACGGGAGGCAGCAGUGGGGAAUUUUGGACAAUGGGGGCAACCCUGAUCCAGCCAUUCCGCGUGAGUGAAGAAGGCCUUCGGGUUGUAAAGCUCUUUUGUCCGGAGCGAAACGGAAGUGGUGAAUAUCCACUUCUACUGACGGUACCGGAAGAAUAAGCACCGGCUAACUACGUG
rnacentral:rRNA from 1 species